rnacentral:misc_RNA from 1 species
GGUGAUGAAUAAGAUUCAGAAGCUUGUCAAUGCAGGGAUAGUCCAGAUCAGAUAGAGGUUUCAAAGCAAAGAACCAAUUGCAUUAUCCUUCAGCUUUUUUCAUCACUGCAUUGUAAUCUCCUGUGUGGAUUGUUUGAGAAGAAACCAAUUCAAGUUGAAAAAUUUUUUAUAUAUUUCUUUUUGUUAAAAUGCUCAUUUUAGGAGUCGUCGAAGAUAAUCCUGAAUUUUUCAAGUUGACCUCAGCAACGGAUAUGACCUUCAUAAUGCCAUUUAUAUCCACCCGAUAGCCUGUAAUUUCAGACUUCCAAGAUUUCUCACAUCAUUUGAUCUACUCUAUCCGCACAUAGAUUCAACAAUCACUUUUUCUUUUUAAUUUUAGAUGCUGUAAUAAUGCUUCUUCACAAAAUUCGUUUGCAUUUAUGUAUGAUGUGGGUACACAUGAAAACAAAACUGGUUCCUUGAAUCGUUAGUAUCAAAUUAUCAAUCUGAAAAGAAGUUAUAAUGCUCCUCCCUGAAAUCAGGCUGCAACUUCUUGCUCCUUCGAAGCAAGUUGGUUUUGAAUGUGCUGAGGGACAACAUCAAAUUUGGCUAAUUGCAUGGUGUAGGAUGCACGACCUUUUGUCAUUCCCCUAAGGGUACUAACAUAUUGGAACAUCUCUGCCAGUGGAACAAGGGAAUCAACCACCUGCAUUAAUUUCAAAAAUUCCCAUCAAAAAAUUGUUGACAAAAUGCAGAUGGAUGCUUAAGGACUUGUUUGACGCAUGGAAUAGAAUAGAAUAGAGCAUGAAUGAAAUAACUAUUCAUAGUAAUAUAAUAGCUAAUAUUCACUUAUAUUUUGAGUUUAUAUCAUGAAAAUUUAAAAUAAUAUUUAUUACACAUUUUCAAUUUUAAUAAAAUUAUUAGCCAAUGGAAUGAUAUUCCACAUUUAAAUUUGAACAAAAUCUUGAAAUAGCUAUUCAUUGUGAAACAGAUAUUAUAUUCCUGUCUUAUUCCAUGUCAUUCUGCGAACCAAACAAGGCCUAAGCUCUUUACCGCAUUAUCUUUUCCUUUGGUUGCUCUAGAAAUAAAUGAGAACCCAUACCUAGGCAAUGCAUUGAACGCAGGUUUGGUUAGUAACUAAACCAAUAAAUAAAAGACCAUAUCACUGGACAUUAACAUACCUUAAGGCCGCCAGUUUUGUCACCAAAGCUGUUAAUCUGACCUCUCCUGGAGUUGAGAUCACCGAUGACAUCUCCCAAAUGUUCCUCAGGUGUGACCACUUCAACUUUCAUUAUGGGCUCUAGCAUCUUUGGGCCAGCUUUCUUGAUGCCAUCACGGAAAGCUCCCCUAGCUGCCAGUUGAAAUGCCAAGACACUUGAAUCCACAUCGUGGUAAGAACCAUCGACCAAUACAGCACGUACAUCAACAACAGGAAAGCCUGCAAGCACUCCAUUAUUCAUGCACUCUUCCAAUCCUUUCAUCACCCCAGGAAUAUAUUCUCUUGGCACUGCACCUCCCUUGAUUUCACUUUUGAACUCGUAUCCACUACCUGCCUCCAUAGGCUCAAAUCGUAUUGUUACAUCAGCAAACUGUCCUUGUCCACCAGACUGUUUUUUGUGCACAUACUUCACUUCUGAAACUUUGGAAAUGCUUUCUCGGUAGUUUACUUGAGGUGCACCAACGUUAGCUUCCACCUUAAAUUCUCUCUUCAGACGAUCUACAAUAAUCUCAAGAUGCAAUUCCCCCAUUCCUUCAAUAACAGUCUGAUUGAUUUCUUCAUCUCGUGAGAAAUGGAAAGAAGGGUCCUCCUGAGCAAGCUUGAUCAAACCGGUUGCCAUCUUAUCAACAUCAGCUUUAGUCUUGGGUUCAAUUGCAACCUUGAUCACAGGAUCAGGGAAGUCCAUACGUUCAAGCACAAUAGGAUUAUCAGGAUCACAGAGUGUUUCACCAGUUAUGGUAUCUUUUAGACCUGCCAGGGCAACAAUAUCACCUGUUAAAGCUAACUUUACAUCCUCCCUACUGUUGGCAUGCAUUUCCAGAAGUCUUCCAAUUCUCUCCUUCUUUCCUUUGUUUGCAUUCAAUACAUAAGAUCCUGCAGCUAGCUUCCCUGCAUAAACUCUUACAAAUGUGAGGGAUCCCACAAAUGGAUCACUCAUGAUUUUGAAAGCUAGUCCAGAAAAUGGUUCAUCAUCACUUGCAGUCCUUUCAAUCGUCACUUCUGGGUUCUCAGGAUCAGUCCCCUUCAUUGAUGGCAACUCAAGAGGAGAAGGCAAGUAAUCAACAACAGCAUCAAGCAAUGGCUGAACCCCCUUAUUCUUAAAAGCAGAUCCACAUAGGACUGGCACAAAACUGCUAGCAAUUGUACCCUUCCUAAUUAAUUUUUUUAUGCUUUCCUCAUCAGGUUCAACUCCUUCUAGAUAUUUCUCCAUAGCAUCGUCAUCCAACUCAACUAUAUUCUCUAUCAACAGCGCCCGGUAUUCUUGAGCCAACUCUUCAAGAUCCGCAGGAAUAUCCCCAUAUACAAACUUUGCACCCAAUUCUUCUCCUGACCAAAGUAUAGCUUUCAUCUUUACAAGGUCAACCACCCCUUGAAAAUUAUCUUCAGCACCAACUGGAAUUUGAAUAACAAGAGGUUUAGCACCCAAGUUUGUUUUUAUCAUGUCUCUUGUUCGAAAAAAGUUUGCUCCAAGGCGAUCCAUCUUAUUGACAAAGCAAAUUCUUGGUACUCCAUAUUUAUCAGCUUGCCUCCACACAGUUUCAGACUGUGGUUCCACACCUGCUACACUGUCAAAUAAGCAGAUGGCACCAUCCAAAACCCUUAGUGCUCGUUCCACUUCAAGUGUGAAGUCGACAUGGCCAGGAGUAUCAAUAAUGUUAAUGCGGUGUUUGUUCCAAAAUGUGGUAGUUGCAGCAGAAGUAAUGGUGAUUCCUCUUUCUUGUUCUUGCUCCAUCCAGUCCAUUGUAGCUGUUCCUUCAUGUACUUCCCCUAUUUUAUAGUUUCUUCCUGUAUAGUACAGAAUCCGUUCAGUUGUAGUAGUCUUUCCUGCAUCUAUAUGAGCCAUAAUUCCAAUGUUGCGGUAAUCUUUCAGGGGUACUGCACGCUUUGCCUCUUCAGUGGCCAUGGCAAAGACAGAGAAGUUUCUCCUCCUCUGUUGUUGUUUUUGACGUGAAAUGCAAACCUUGGAAGACUGCGAGUCAAAACGCAUGCUUCCCAAAAAAUGAGAAAGCGAUGAAGAAAUUGAAGAAGGGGGAACUGAAGCUCGAGGAGGGAGACCCAGAAACCGAAUUGGUCUAGAGGAAUACUUAGCUCCCCUUCGAGACCCGUUGAAGGUGCAGAGCGAAAAAGAACUUGAACCCAUUAAUCUCGCAGUCUCUACCGCCAUUUUUUUGGCUCUUAAUUCCCAGUCCCUCCCUCACUCCGAGUUCAGUUGGGAGUUAAAGAUAACGAAUAACUCCUCAGUCUUUUUGAACUGAAUGCAACUGAAAUACCCGUAUUGCCCACUGCCCAAUUCGAUCCAAUUUUCGUUCCUUUUGAACGAAUAGAAGCGAUUUUGUUGGUUAUGAAUGUAAAAGAAUGCGAAUGCAGGCUUAUUUUCUGCUAAAUGCUGGAAAAAUGAAAAUUUUUUUU